AUUGAACGCUGGCGGCAGGCCUAACACAUGCAAGUCGAGCAAGCGGCGGACUGGUGAGUAAUGUAUGGGGACUGCCCGAUAGAGGGGGAUAACUACCGUGAACGGUGGCUAAUACCUCAUACUAUCGGAUAACCCAUAUGGGAUUAGCUCGUAGGUGGGGUAAAGGCUCACCUAGGCGACGAUCUCUAGCUGGCCUGAGAGGAUGAGCAGCCACGCUUGGCCGGAGAAUGGGGCACGACGCCUACGGAGGCAGCAGCGGGGAAUAUUGCACAGCGGGGCGAAGUAGUCUGCAGUAACGCCGCGUGUAGGAAGAGGGCUUUAGGGUUGUCAAGUACUUGCAGCGGUGCGGCGUUAGCUGCAGAAGAAGCACCGGCUAACUCUGUGCCAGCAGCCGCGGUAAUAC
rnacentral:rRNA from 1 species